rnacentral:ncRNA from 1 species
CGAUAAACGUUGAAGAGGACUAGUAGCUUUAGAGUCAGUAUCUACAGAGAGCCGGUGGUAGCUGGAAACCGGUGUUACUUUCUAAAGUGAACUCACCUCUGAGUGUCUGCUUGAAAUGAUAGUAGGGCAGACCGAGUGACAUUGCUCACUCGUUACCAAAAUGGAUGAAAGAUGUCCAUAAGACGGCAGCUGAAUUUGCCGUGAACAAGGGUGGUACCGCGAAAAACAAAGCUUUUUCGCCCCUUUG